rnacentral:rRNA from 1 species
UACGUAUGGGGCUAGCGUUGUCCGGAAUCAUUGGGCGUAAAGCGCGUGUAGGCGGUCCGGUAAGUCCGCUGUGAAAGUCGGGGGCUCAACCCUCGAAAGCCGGUGGAAACUGUCGGGCUAGAGUGCGGAAGAGGCGAGUGGAAUUCCUGGUGUAGCGGUGAAAUGCGCAGAUAUCAGGAGGAACACCAAUUGCGAAGGCAGCUCGCUGGGACGUUACUGACGCUGAGACGCGAAAGCGUGGGGAGCAAACAGG